rnacentral:rRNA from 1 species
UCUGGUUGAUCCUGCCAGUAGUCAUAUGCUUGUCUCAAAGAUUAAGCCAUGCAUGUCUAAGUAUAAAUAGUAUACAGUGAAACUGCGAAUGGCUCAUUAAAACAGUUAUAGUUUAUUUGAUAAUUGACAAUUACAUGGAUAACCGUGGUAAUUCUAGAGCUAAUACAUGCUUAAACGCCCGACUUUAUGGAAGGGUGGUAUUUAUUAGACUGAAGCCAAUAUUCCUUGUGUCUAUUGCGGUGAUUCAUAAUAACUGAUCGAAUCUCUUUUUGAGAUAAAUCAUUCAAGUCUCUGCCCUAUCAGCUUUCGAUGGUAGUGUAUUGGACUACCAUGGCAGUAACGGGUAACGAAGAAUUAGGGUUCGAUUUCGGAGAGGGAGCAUGAGAAACGGCUACCACAUCUAAGGAAGGCAGCAGGCGCGUAAAUUACCCAAUCCUGACUCAGGGAGGUAGUGACAAGAAAUAGCAAACCGGGAACCUCAUGGUUUCACGGUAUUGCAAUGAGAACAAUUUAAAACCCUUAGCGAGAAUCAAGUGGAGGACAAGUCUGGUGCCAGCACCCGCGGUAAUUCCAGCUCCACUAGCGUAUAUUAAAGUUGUUGCAGUUAAAAAGCUCGUAGUUGAACCUCUGUCUGGGGCUAGUUUGGCUUUGGUCAGGCUAGUUCUAGGCAUCCGCCUACAAGACUUAGAGGGCAUUCAGUUGUUCACUAGGAGGAGUAGGCAUUUUACUUUGAAAAAAUUAGAGUGUUUAAGGCAGGCAAUCGCCCGCAUAUAUUAGCAUGGAAUAAUAGAAUAGGACACUUUUCCAUUUCGUUGGUUAUUGGAAUCGUGUAAUGAUUAAUAGGGACAGUUGUGGGCAUUUGUAUUUAAUUGUCAGAGGUGAAAUUCUUGGAUUUAUUAAAGACAAACUAACGCGAAAGCAUUUGCCAAGGAUGUUUUCAUUAAUCAAGAACGAAAGUUAGGGGAUCAAAGACGAUCAGAUACCGUCCUAGUCUUAACUAUAAACUAUUCCGACUCAAUGUUUGACUGGCUUAUAUAACCAGUUGAGCGUUGUAUGAGAAAUCAAAGUCUUUAGGUUCUGGGGGGAGUAUGGUUGCAAAGCUGAAACUUAAAGGAAUUGACGGAAGAGCACAACCAGGAGUGGAUUCUGCGGCUUAAUUUGACUCAACACGGGGAAACUUACCAGGUUAAAACAAUAGUGGGAUUGACAGUUUGAGAGCGCUUUCUUGAUUGGUUGGGUGGUGGUGCAUGGCCGUUCUUAGUUGG